rnacentral:rRNA from 1 species
GGCAGCAGUGGGGAAUAUUGCACAAUGGGCGAAAGCCUGAUGCAGCGACGCCGCGUGAGGGAUGACGGCCUUCGGGUUGUAGACCUCUUUCAGCAGGGACGAAGCGCAAGUGACGGUACCUGCAGAAGAAGCACCGGCUAACUACGUGCCAGCAGCCGCG